rnacentral:rRNA from 1 species
AGGGGUGUAUUAUUAGAUAAAAAACCAAUGCCCUCCGGGGCUCCUUGGUGAUUCAUGAUAACUAAACGAAUCGCAUGGCCUUGUGCCGGCGAUGGUUCAUUCAAAUUUCUGCCCUAUCAACUUUCGAUGGUAGGAUAGUGGCCUACCAUGGUUUCAACGGGUAACGGGGAAUUAGGUUCUAUUCCGGAGAGGGAGCCUGAGAAACGGCUACCACAUCCAAGGAAGGCAGCAGGCGCGCAAAUUACCCAAUCCCGACACGGGGAGUAGUGACAAUAAAUACUGAUACAGGGCUCUUUUGGGUCUUGUAAUUGGAAUGAGUACAAUUUAAAUCCCUUAACGAGGAACAAUUGGAGGGCAAGUCUGGUGCCAGCAGCCGCGGUAAUUCCAGCUCCAAUAGCGUAUAUUAAAGUUGUUGCAGUUAAAAAGCUCGUAGUUGAACCUUGGGCCUGGCUGGCCGGUCCGCCUCACCGCGUGCACUGGUCCGGCCGGGCCUUUCCUUCUGGGGAGCCGCAUGCCCUUCACUGGGUGUGUC